ACAUCUAUUUUUACACCCAGUUAUCUUUUUUUGUUUUAUUUGACUGUAUAAUCAUUAUACUGUAUGUAAAUGCAUAUACUGUAAUAUAUUGUACGAGAAAUGUAAACGUGGACCUGAUCAAAUUUUAUACCCAGAGGUAUUCAUGUUUCAAUACUUCUAAAGAUUUAAUGUAUAUAUUUUGAUGCAGAUUGCUACUAUUGAGGAUAAAUUCAUUUUUUUGAAAGAAAUAUUAGACAUAGAAUUAAAAACAGAUAUUAAUGAAGUAGACUAACAUUUUUUGUACUUUUUAUUUUUAUAUGUAACAGUAAUAUUUAACAGAUUUGGAAUCGGAGGAUGGCCAAUCCAAAAACAUACACCAGUUCUGAAUUUCCUGAAUCUUAAGAAUUUGAUCAGGGACACACUACUUACGUAUAUUAAUAUUUAAGAGUAGUGUUAAACAUAUCUAAGGAGGAUUAAAAAAAAGUUGUGAAUUCUAGGCUGUGAUUUUGACAUUGCAUUGUGUUUUUAUAAAACACAUCAAUCUGAUUGUAAUUUUAGAAAACAAGCCCUUUUUGCCACACUGUCAUAUCUCAGUAAAUAUUGGUAUACUUAUUGCCUUGUACAAAGGGCAAAGUUUAUGUACAUCUAUUAUAAACAUGUAUAGUUUUAUAGUACCAGUUUUAAGGAAAAAAUAUAAUUCUAAGGACUAUUAUUUUACAGAAUAUUGCAUAUAGCAUUUAAUUUGACCAACAAAAAAAAUAACGGGGCAACAAAUUAAGUUUGAAGCAAAAUGCAUGGCUAUUAUUAUAUCUAAUGGUGUACUUUUCAAUGGAACAGAUUAAACCCUAAUGAUAUAUUUUAAGAUGAAAGUGCUUGGCAGUUAGUUUUAAUAAUUUGUUUUUUUUAACUAUAACAUGGCAGAUGUUGUGUAGGUGCUUUUUAAAAUGCCUGCUUUAUGUGGCAUUAGGGUCUGAAAAAAUUGGAAUCAAGGGCUCGUAACUAUGAAAAAUAAUAAUUAUUGAAUAUUUUACCAGGCUGCAUGGUUAUUGCAAUUUUCAUGUUAUGUUUAUAUUUUAAACAUAAAUUUGCAUUAAUAAAAUCUCAUUAUAGAUAAUACAUGU
rnacentral:misc_RNA from 1 species